AAUCAACGCUGGCGGCGUGCCUAACACAUGCAAGUCGAACGAGAAAGGGGGCUUCGGUCCCUGAGUACAGUGGCGCACGGGUGAGUAACACGUGACUUAUCUACCCUCGAGUGGGGAAUAACUUCGGGAAACCGAGGCUAAUACCGCAUAAUACCCACGGGUCAAAGGAGCAAUUCGCUUGAGGAGGAGGUCGCGGCCGAUUAGUUAGUUGGCGGGGUAAUGGCCCCACCCAAGACGGUGAUCGGUAUCCGGCCUGAGAGGGCGCACGGACGCACUGGAACUGAAACACGGUCCAGACUCCUACGGGAGGCAGCAGUGGGGAAUUUUGCGCAAUGGGGGAAACCCUGACGCAGCAACGCCGCGUGGAGGAUGAAGUCUCUUGGGACGUAAACUCCUUUCGAUCGGGACGAUUAUGACGGUACCGGAAGAAGAAGCCCCGGCUAACUUCGUG
rnacentral:rRNA from 1 species